rnacentral:lncRNA from 1 species
AGGACGCGGGCAGAGGUGGGCGGUGGGGCAGCGAGAGAGGGCCGCGCCAGAGCAGCCCACUCCCGCACAGCCUAGGACUGGAGUUCCCAGGCCCAACCGCCUACCUGAGUGAUCUGUUUUGCACAUCUUUCCUCAUUCCUCUUCUCUGCUGUCCCUACCUCCUCUACUUUUUUGCAUGAACAGGGCCCAGGCCAGGAUAACGGAUGCAGAAAGAUGGCCUUUUGGCCCGGAACGCACUCUCUCUCGUACGCAUACACCCACCUCCCUACCACCCCCCCCACACACACGCUCACGCGCAAUUCAACCCCCCCAGCCCAGCCCCAGCCAGUGCACUGGGCACACGCUCGGGAUCCAGGCACCUUGCCAAGAGCUCGCGAGCACCCUGCGUGGCACACUGGUUGGAGUUCCUGCACGAAGUGGCGGGGGUGGAGUGAGGAGGGAGGGGUGGGCGGCGGUGCACGCCGCCGACUGCUGGCGGUGAGCACAAGUUCAGUGCUCAACUUCCCGCUCUUAACGAGACCCGGGAUCCCUUUGGAGAGGCCCUCGGGAGCUGGCGACAGGGCUGGGAGUGGCGUGGGUAAGCUGGCCGGCGCGGGGCGCGGGCGGCGGGGCACAAGGGCGCUACAAGAAGAGGGCGCGAGGGUGCCCGCGGCCAGCCGGGCGCUCCGAGAAGUCAGCGCGAGCAGCUGUGACUUCACCUAUUAGCCCCGAUGUCUUUCCGAGGAGCCUGGUGGAGUUAAACAGCCCACAAUGGGCGCUCUGGGGCGCCUCCAGCCUGACCUCCACCCGGGUUUAAUAGUUUCAUAGGAACUUCAUUAAAUCAAUUACUUAGUGAGCACAUCAUCAUUUAUUUGUAAUUAGCAGCGAGGAGCGCGUUCUCUCCCCCAGCCCGCGGCCCGGGUCCCAGCGGGGUUGACUAGUUGUGCAAGCACUUUUGUUUGCUCGAGUGUUGACUCCCGGCAUUAUUCGGCCCGGGUAAUCUUUACGUCUCAAUCUAGUAUUCAGGGGGCGAAAGGAAAACAAACAGGGCGCAGGCCGGAGGCCAGCCCUUUGGUCCCAGCCGUCCCAGAACUCGGCCCUCGCUGGGCGUGCAGGGCGCACCUCUGCGGCCCCGGCUCCUCCCGGGAGGAAUAGGCGAGAGCGCCACCGGGGCAGAGGGGCAGGAGCCAGCCCGGAGGGUCCAGAAGGAAAGUGGCGAAGGAAGAGGCGAUGAAGGA